GAGCGGUAACAGCUCAAAUUUGAAAUCUGGCUCUUGCGGAGUCCGAGUUGUAAUUUGUAGAAGAUGCUUUGGGUUGUGGGUUCGGCCUAAGUUCCUUGGAACAGGACGUCAUAGAGGGUGAGAAUCCCGUAUGUGGCCGAGGCCCGCGCCUAUGUAAAGCUCUUUCAACGAGUCGAGUUGUUUGGGAAUGCAGCUCAAAAUGGGUGGUAAAUUUCAUCUAAAGCUAAAUAUGGGCCAGAGACCGAUAGCGCACAAGUAGAGUGAUCGAAAGAUGAAAAGCACUUUGGAAAGAGAGUUAAACAGUACGUGAAAUUGUUGAAAGGGAAGCGCUUGCAACCAGACUUGGGCGCUGCCGAUCACCUUGAGUUUUCUCGAGUGCACUCGACAGCGCACAGGCCAGCAUCGGUUCGGGUGGCUGGAUAAAGGCCGUAGGAAUGUGGCUCUCUUCGGGGAGUGUUAUAGCCUACGGUGCCAUGCAGCCCAGCCGGACCGAGGACCGCGCCUUCGGGCUAGGAUGCUGGCGUAAUGGUUGUAAGCGACCCGUCUUGAAACACGGACCAAGGAGUCUAACAUCUAUGCGAGUGUUUGGGUGGUAAACCCAUACGCGGAAUGAAAGUGAACGUAGGUGAGAACCCCUUUGGGGCGCAUCAUCGACCGAUCCUGAUGUCUUCGGAUGGAUUUGAGUAGACUA
rnacentral:rRNA from 1 species